CAAGCCGGCUGCACGGGGCACCUCAUCUCUGGGUUACGCUCCUUUGUAUUUCAGAAAUGAACAAACAAACUCUAACAAACACAAAGAGCAUCUGGCAAGUACUGCAAACAACAAGGAGGGAAAGGAAGCAUGAGCUCUCCUUGCAAGUUGGAGUAUGAAUAUUGCCUCAUGACUGAAAUGAAUAACAACUUCCCUAUUUAAUUAAGCCGUUUGAGAUUUGCAUUUGUGCUCACUGAAACCAUCACUCUUCUUUCCUGUGUUAUCAUGGCUGCACCUCAGCUCAGAGGAAAAGGAACAGAUACUCUCUGUGUGGGAAGACAGGACAACAAAUUGCAUGCAUAUUGCCACCCCCUGCCAGGGAAAGGCUGUGAAGUCUCCAUCCUCAGAAAUAUCCAAAACGCAAAUCAACAAAGGCUUGGACAAUCUACUCUGGCCAGCUGUGCCUGUAUAAGAGGGGUAGGACUGAAUGAUUUCCAGAGUUCCCAUUCAACCUCAGCUACUCUGUGCAAAAACUAACAGGUACUAUCAAAGAAAGAGUGUGUUGAUCUUCCUAAAACAUAUUAGAUCGCAAGUUAAAGACCUAAUGCACUAUUUCCCUGUAUAGGAAAAUAUGAAGUGAGAAACUGUGAGAGGAAAGGGAGAGAGGCUGACAAGACACCCACAUUCUAAGAAAUUCUUUACGGUAGUAAGGACAGUUUCUUUCAAAUGCAUAAUAUGCCGG
rnacentral:lncRNA from 1 species